rnacentral:rRNA from 1 species
GACAGAGGCCUCAAGCGUUUAGGCGGAAUCACUGGGCUUAAAGCGUGUGUAGGCGGAUCGUUAAGUGUCUUGUGAAAUCCACGGCUCACCCGUGGAACGGCUGGGCAUACUGGCGAUCUUGGGUGCCAACUAGGGGCAACUGGAACAAGCGGUGGAGCGGUGAAAUGCGUAGAUAUCGCUUGGAACGCCAAAGGUGAAAACAGGUUGCUGGGGUUGUGCCGACGCUGAGACACGAAAGCCAGGGGAGGCAAACGGG